rnacentral:rRNA from 1 species
AUUGAACGCUGGCGGCAGGCUUAACACAUGCAAGUCGAGCGGAGUGAUGGUGCUUGCACUAUCACUUAGCGGCGGACGGGUGAGUAAUGCUUAGGAAUCUGCCUAUUAGUGGGGGACGACAUCUCGAAAGGGAUGCUAAUACCGCAUACGUCCUACGGGAGAAAGCAGGGGAUCACUUGUGACCUUGCGCUAAUAGAUGAGCCUAAGUCGGAUUAGCUAGUUGGUGGGGUAAAGGCCUACCAAGGUGACGAUCUGUAGCGGGUCUGAGAGGAUGAUCCGCCACACUGGGACUGAGACACGGCCCAGACUCCUACGGGAGGCAGCAGUGGGGAAUAUUGGACAAUGGGGGAAACCCUGAUCCAGCCAUGCCGCGUGUGUGAAGAAGGCCUUAUGGUUGUAAAGCACUUUAAGCGAGGAGGAGACUCUUUUGGUUAAUACCCAAGAUGAGUGGACGUUACUCGCAGAAUAAGCACCGGCUAACUCUGUGCCAGCCGCCGCGGUAACAC